rnacentral:rRNA from 1 species
ACGUACACUCCUACGGGAGGCAGCAGUGGGGAAUAUUGGACAAUGGGCGCAAGCCUGAUCCAGCCAUGCCGCGUGAGUGAUGAAGGCCCUAGGGUUGUAAAGCUCUUUCACCGGUGAAGAUAAUGACGGUAACCGGAGAAGAAGCCCCGGCUAACUUCGUGCCAGCAGCCGCGGUAAUACGAAGGGGGCUAGCGUUGUUCGGAUUUACUGGGCGUAAAGCGCACGUAGGCGGACUAUUAAGUCAGGGGUGAAAUCCCGGGGCUCAACCCCGGAACUGCCUUUGAUACUGGUAGUCUUGAGUGCGAGAGAGGGGAGUGGAAUUCCGAGUGUAGAGGUGAAAUUCGUAGAUAUUCGGAGGAACACCAGUGGCGAAGGCGGCUCACUGGCUCGAUACUGACGCUGAGGUGCGAAAGCGUGGGGAGCAAACAGUAUUAGAAACCCGAGUAGUCCCA